ACGACCUUACUUGAACAGGAUCUGUUCUAUAGGCUCGUACCACUGUAUCCUUGAGUUCUAAGGAGACAAGAAAUCAAGCCUGGUUGAUGAAGAAUGGCCAUGAGACUAGAGCGUGAUUAACUAGCUUGGGUGGCCCUUGGGCCUCUCUGUGCAGUAGAGGAGGAUCGUUCCCAGGCCGCUAGCUGGUCUUGGGGUGGUCUCUUGGCUCUCUGACAGGAC